AAUCAACGCUGGCGGCGUGCCUAACACAUGCAAGUCGAGCGCGAAAGCGGGGCAACUCGCAAGUAGAGCGGCGAACGGGUGAGUAACGCGUGGGUGAUCUACCUCCGAGUGGGGAACAACAUCGGGAAACUGGUGCUAAUACCGCAUGACAUCCUCGGGUCAUACUGAGGAUCAAAGCCGGGGACCGCAAGGCCUGGCGCUUGGAGAGGAGCCCGCGUCCGAUAGCUAGUUGGCGGGGUAACGGCCCACCAAGGCGACGAUCGGUAGCCGGCC
rnacentral:rRNA from 1 species